rnacentral:rRNA from 1 species
GACGAACGCUGGCGGCGUGCCUAACACAUGCAAGUCGAACGGAGAAGUUAGCAAUAGCUUCUUAGUGGCGAACGGGUGAGUAACGCGUAGACAACCUGCCUCAAAGAUGGGGACAACACCGCGAAAGUGGUGCUAAUACCGAAUGUGGUAUCACCUGCGCAUGCAGGAGAUAAAAAAGAUGGCCUCUUUAUAUGCUAUCGCUGUGAGAUGGGUCUGCGUCUGAUUCGCUAGUUGGUGAGGUAAUGGCUCACCAAGGCAACGAUCAGUAGCCGGUCUGAGAGGAUGAACGGCCACACUGGGACUGAGACACGGCCCAGACUCCUACGGGAGGCAGCAGUGGGGAAUCUUCCGCAAUGGACGAAAGUCUGACGGAGCAACGCCGCGUGAGUGAAGAAGGUUUUCGGAUCGUAAAGCUCUGUCUUCAGGGACGAAUGUUAUUCUUGUGAAUAAUGAGAGUAAAUGACGGUACCUGAGGAGGAAGCCACGGCUAACUACGUGCCAGCAGCCGCGGUAACAC